rnacentral:rRNA from 1 species
CACGUAGGGGGCAAGCGUUGUCCGGAAUUAUUGGGCGGAAAGAGCUCGUAGGUGGCCUGUCGCGUCGGCUGUGAAAACUCGGGGCUCAACUCCGAGCUUGCAGUCGAUACGGGCAGGCUAGAGUUCGGCAGGGGAGACUGGAAUUCCUGGUGUAGCGGUGAAAUGCGCAGAUAUCAGGAGGAACACCGGUGGCGAAGGCGGGUCUCUGGGCCGAUACUGACACUGAGGAGCGAAAGCGUGGGGAGCGAACAGG